rnacentral:rRNA from 1 species
UACGUAGGGCGCAAGCGUUGUCCGGAAUUAUUGGGCGUAAAGAGCUCGUAGGCGGUUUGUCGCGUCUGCUGUGAAAACCUAAGGCUCAACCUUGGGCUUGCAGUGGGUACGGGCAGACUAGAGUGCGGUAGGGGUGACUGGAAUUCCUGGUGUAGCGGUGGAAUGCGCAGAUAUCAGGAGGAACACCGAUGGCGAAGGCAGGUCACUGGGCCGCAACUGACGCUCAGGUGCGAAAGCUAGGGGAGCGAACAGG